rnacentral:rRNA from 1 species
GAUGAACGCUGGCGGCGUGCCUAAUACAUGCAAGUCGAGCGAACGGACGAGAAGCUUGCUUCUCUGAUGUUAGCGGCGGACGGGUGAGUAACACGUGGAUAACCUACCUAUAAGACUGGGAUAACUUCGGGAAACCGGAGCUAAUACCGGAUAAUAUUUAGAACCGCAUGGUUCAAAAGUGAAAGACGGUCUUGCUGUCACUUAUAGAUGGAUCCGCGCUGCAUUAGCUAGUUGGUAAGGUAACGGCUUACCAAGGCAACGAUGCAUAGCCGACCUGAGAGGGUGAUCGGCCACACUGGAACUGAGACACGGUCCAGACUCCUACGGGAGGCAGCAGUAGGGAAUCUUCCGCAAUGGGCGAAAGCCUGACGGAGCAACGCCGCGUGAAUGAUGAAGGUCUUCGGAUCGUAAAACUCUGUUAUUAGGGAAGAACAUAUGUGUAAGUAACUGUGCACAUCUUGACGGUACCUAAUCAGAAAGCCACGGCUAACUACGUG